GGGUUUCUAUCACGGAGGUGUCUUCUAUGCUUCGGGUAGAGGAGAGUUUGAAGAAGGUGGAGUAGAGUUCUGUCUUCUGUUUCUAGAUCUGGGUACAUGAAGACCCUCUGAUUUUUGUAAAGCUGGCAACCCAGCGGUGGACCGACUACCAAAUCAUGCUUGUUAAGCUUUUAAUAAAGCUGGGUAUGAUUUGCCUUUGGUCUAAAAAAUCAACACAUACGAGAUCGAAGAGCUAGGAUUAAGGGAUUUUUUAACCGUGCAUUUAAUUUGACUAUCUACGGCCAGCCUGAACAAAAUGGGGGACGCAAAAGAAAGAAAUCAGGCAAACAAAACAAAAUGACAAGUCUUCAGUCCUGCAGCACGUUAAUUACUUCAUUUCAACAUCCGUAGAAAAAUCAGCCUCGAUAGGUCCCGGACCGAACUUUCCAGUCAAUUUCCAGUGCAAUCGAUCGGGUACACUAACGAUAAAGAUCUUCGCCGUUUCAUCCAGUGGCACACACUGGUACUACUAGAAGACUUGCUGACUUUGUCUGUGGUGGUCGAUCAACCCUUGCUCGAAGCAAAUGCGUAUGAGCUGUACAUCGCAAAAAAUGAAUCCACCACCUUCUAGACCAUAAGUACGCACCACUUGCAAAUAUCCAAUACAGCCAGGUAAACACGAAAUAACCAAACACCAGCUUCAUACUCCCUCCGUCCCGGUUUCAGUACCAAUGUAACAUUCAAAAAAAAUCCCACAAUAAACGCUUAAUAGCAAUGGGUGCUUAUCCGUCCAACAUUUCGAUCUGCUGUGCACCUGCACGGCUGUACAUGUGACUACGUGAGCCCAUUUGUUAAAAAAAAAAAUAUGAACCACCAAUUGGUUGGCCAUCCUCCGCUUGAAAAACCUGAAACGUUCUAGCUUCUUCCCCACUGCUCGUUUUGGUUGCUUCCCUGCUGUAGCUGCAGCCCAAUCUGACUAUUAUCUUUUAAAUUGAGAGC
rnacentral:lncRNA from 1 species